GAAGAUCCGGCGCAGCUAAAGUCAGUGGAAGGUAGAAAGACGCCACAGCCGCCUUUCGACAACUUUUUGUUACAAAAGUGGAGAUCUACACGGAGGCGACGGCCUAGGUCGCUCUGACAGGACCCAACGACCCUCCUGACGCGUCCACCCGUCCUCGCUAGCAGGGUCCCCCAGCGGGCUCUCGACCUGCGCCACCAGAGUUCCACUCUUUUUGUCGACAAUAAUAUGGCGCCCAAACACGUGGGGCCUCAGAGAAGACUCUGGAUCCGGAAGGAGUAUCCCAAAACCAGAGCUAAGGUACCAGCUGGAGCCCACUGAAGCCUCACCGAGUUUGGGCUUCUCCUCCUGUGGAACUGGAAACCAAAAUCAUGGUAUUUUGAAAACCAGAGGUAUGAAUCUCCCUCGUUUGGCAUCCCACUGGGCCUGGACCUGUUUCACUGCUAAUGUUCUGCUGCCAAAACUAUACAAGCUGCCUGGACUAUUGCAGAAGAGAGACAGAGUCUUGCUCUGUUGCCCAGAAUGGAAUGCAGUAGCACAAUCCUAACUAAUCGUAACCUUGAACUCCUGGGUUCAAGCGAUCCUCCUGCCUCAGCCUCCUCAGUAUAGGACUACAGGCGUGCCCAGUUCAAAGUACCAACCUGGAGAAAAUGCCCUGGAUUUGGAAGCAAAGUAUUGAAUGUUGGAAGUCUGAAUAAAGGAAUCAUACACUGUAUGUGCACCUGAAUGUACUUUACAAGCAUCAGUAGAACACUUCUGAUUGAAGCUUGGUCUUAUGAAGAUAAAAAUUUUAUGUGGACCACAGAUUCUCUAAAAAUCAAUGCUUCCUGUCCUCAAACAUCGGACUCCAAAUUCUUCAGCUUUGGGACGGACUGGCUUCCUUGCUCCUCAGCUUGCAGACAGCCGACUGUGGGACCUUGUGAUCAUUUUGGAAACAGAUACUGCAAUCCCAGAAAAUCUUGCCAUAAGAAGAGCCUAGCCAAUAGUUUGACUGCGAUUUCAUGGGAGACCUCAAGGCAGAGUGAUCCAGAAUACCACAGUCUGGAGGCUAUGAAGUCCAUGAUUAAGAAGCCAGCACGUUUGCUUUCUGGUUCCAAGAUGGCAUACCUUUUUGCUGCUUCCUCCAGAGAGGAGGAACACUGUGUUCUCACAUAGUAGAAGAUGGAAGGAGCAGAUGCAGAUGAGCAUGGCAAUGUGAGAAUAUGUCAGAGGCCCCAGGAUGAAAUGAGCUCAAGUCCCUGAAAUCCCUGUUAGAAGAGUCUUUCCACUGGUUGGGAAUGCUAAUUGUAUUUUGACAACUCAAUGUUUCAGCAACUCAAAAUGUUACAGCUUCUGCAUUGGAAUAAAAAAAGGAAAGAAAACAGAAUUUGUACUCAUAUCAGAAGGCAAUCAAAGAACAUACACAUAAUAUACAUUCUAUUAUAGAGGGAGAUGAAGAAGAAGUAUGGAAGAAGUAAGAUGAAGAAGAAGUAUGGAAGAAGUAAGCUUUAGAACCAUGCAGAAAGAAGAGUGCUUCACAGAAUGAUUGCUUUAUGAAGCAUAAGGAGAAACAGAUGAACAUGUGAACAGUGAAAGAUCUUUUCCAUGGAACUGUGUUCAUCCUCUGAUUAAAACGAAUUGUGUAAAGUUGUAUAUUGUAUUUCACCCUUAGCAUUUGGAAAUGUGCAUGUAAUUUUGGUUUUGGUGCUUCAUUACAAUAAUGCGUAGAAAGAAAAAAGGUAUUUAUAGAAUAUUGCAAAAGCAAAUUUGUAGGAUAAAAUAUGUCUGGCCAUGUGUAUUAGAUACUAGUUAACUCAUAUCAUUACUUCAUUGGUACUUCACUAAAUUAUGUCACAAAAGCAAAUACAGGAUUUUCCAGAGCAUGCUUUUGGAAAAAUCUGAAGUUUUAUUGAGGACUCAUUAAUUUUCCCUGUCCCAUAACUUACAAUUUAUUUCACAAGCAUUAUAAACUUCAGAUCAUUCAGAUAUUGCAUUUUAGUAUUGUAAAUUAUAAGAAUAGAUUUAGAAUGCAUACUUUUUGAGGAUAGGUUGCUUUCCUUAAUGAAAGUAUCAUAUUUUUAGUUUACAGUGAAAUUUAAAGAAUGGUUUAUUAUUUGAGCUACAAUUGCAAAAACUUUAGAUAAUACAUUUAAACUUGGCAUUAGAAAGAAAAAAACUUUCUAAAUAGAAAAACUUUUCAACUUUUCUAUUUUUCAACUAGAAAUUUAUACAGUUAGAAUGUUUUUAAAGAAAAAGUUUUAUCUGUAAGGGAAGUGCUUACUGCCAACAUAUUUCACCAAAGCUUAAAUUCUCAAGAGGACAUGUCAUCCUUAUAAGCAAACCAUUCUGAUUACAUCAAUCACAUUAUAUUACCUUGGGUGACUGACUUGCAUGAGAAACCAGCAGUUGUGACUUGAAUUGCAAUAUGCAAGACAGUAAAAACCAUAUUUUACUUUAAAAUAUAUUAAUGUAUUACUUUUCCUAAUAAAAUACAUUGAAAAUUUUUAUCAGUAGCCAGGAAAUUAUAGAACUAGGCAGUUGUAUUCCUGAAGCACUUUCAGUGUUCAUGAUAAUUAAUUUGAGAAGUAGACUCUUAUCACACAGUAGCAUCUGUUGAACAUUCUUGUUUUUGGUAAAAUUAAUUUCUGACUGAUUCAUGAAAUAAAUGAUAAGGAACAUAAAUUCAGCUCUUUACUGUAUGACUCAUGUAACCUAUGACUUUUUGGGGGAAGUUUCACAUAAUGGGAAUACAUUAAGAAAUGUUUUAAAUAAAAACACAUAUAACUAA
rnacentral:lncRNA from 1 species